GUUUCCGUAAGGUGGUGUCCCCCCGAGGCUCGCCUACGGAAGUCCCCGGCAGCGACUCAAAACAACUGCCCCGAGUCCGCCCACGGGCGGGCGACGCAUUCAUUCUGCCCUGGGAGUGCCCUGUACCGGGCCCACCAGCAGCUUCUUCAAGCUCACAGAUCAGACGAACGCGGCCACUGCGGGUGGUUUCGAUAUGACCGGCCGUCGCUGUCACCAGCCGACGCCCUUUUGCGGAACCUGCGGAAGGAUCAUUA
rnacentral:rRNA from 1 species